rnacentral:rRNA from 1 species
GACGAACGCUGGCGGCGUGCUUAACACAUGCAAGUCGAGCGCUGAAGCUUCUUCGGGGGUGGAUGAGCGGCGAACGGGUGAGUAACACGUGGGUGACCUGCCCUCAGCUCUGGGAUAAGCCUGGGAAGCUGGGUCUAAUACCGGAUAUGACCUUCUCUCGCAUGGGGGUUGGUGGAAAGUCUGUGUUGUGAGACAUGGGCGGUUGGGGAUGGGCCCGCGGCCUAUCAGCUUGUUGGUGGGGUGAUGGCCUACCAAGGCGG